rnacentral:rRNA from 1 species
GCUGAAUUUAAGCAUAUUUGAACAUCGACAUUUUGAACGCACAUUGCGGUCCUUGGAUUUCCAAUCCCGGACCA